rnacentral:rRNA from 1 species
CAAUAGCGUAUAUUAAAGUUGUUGCAGUUAAAAAGCUCGUAGUUGGAUUUCUGGUGGGAGCGAUCGGUCUGGCGCUUAGCGCGAGUACUUGCAUCGUCUCCGGCCAUCCUUGGGGAGAGCCUGUCUGGCAUUAAGUUGUCGGGCAGAGGAUCCUCAUCGUUUACUGUGAAAAAAUUAGAGUGUUCAAAGCAGGCUUAUGCCGUUGAAUAUAUUAGCAUGGAAUAAUAAGAUAGGACUUUGGUACUAUUUUGUUGGUUUGCGCACCAAAGUAAUGAUUAAUAGGGACAGUUGGGGGUAUUCGUAUUCCGUUGUCAGAGGUGAAAUUCUUGGAUUUACGGAAGACGAACUACUGCGAAAGCAUUUACCAAGGAUGUUUUCAUUAA